UGGUCGAAGUAGCCACACGGGGUUGCCGUGGGCGCCUAGGAGGCAUAGUACCUGAGGAAGAAGAAAUUUAGUAGUCCAUAACAAGACUAACACAAUAAUCACAUAUACCCAAUAACACAUAGUAUCAAAAGCAUAAAAUGCCAAUGAAUCCGCCGCGGUCGGAUCAUCACUCUAUAGACACUACAUGCUACUUAGGCAAAUGUGAUAGUGACAAGGAAGCAGGAAAAGGAAACCUAUAGCUCUGAUACCAACUGACACGACCCACCCCGAAUUUCACCCUGAAACCCAGAGUAAGUCGUGCGGGGACCACCUCCAAGGAAAAUUUACUGAAAAGAUUAAGAAAAUCUCCCUUGCAGUUGGACAACCCUAACUCGAAAAUUUCAUAUUACACUCUUAAUUUAACACUUCUGAACAUCCCAUAAUAUACAAAAAUUCUAAAGUAUUCAGAGCUACUAAACACAAGCGGAAGCAAGAAAACACGAGUAGGUUGAACAGGUAACCUACUGGCGAAAACUGGCAGAAAUGCGGGUGACUAUGCCUCGUCUCCUACUAGAUCCAACCCGAACUCUGCAGACUGGGCAAUUUAAAACGAAGGGCCCAGGGGAAAACAUUUAAUAAUGUUAGAGUGAGUGGACAAAAAUAAAAUAAUAAAUAAAAUAUUUAUGUUUCCCCAAAUUAAUUUCUAAGGAAAAAUCGAAUGCAUGCCGCAAGCGAUAAACUUUUAUCUCAUAAUAAUAUCGAGCCUCUCAGACUCUAUAAUAUAUGUAUGUAUUUACACUCGUCCAUACUCCCUAUAUAAAUUCAUGGGUCUAUAUAGGGCUACUACGCUCGCGUCCAACGCUCACGUCACGCCUUAAUGCGGUGCUACACUACGCCAUCAAGGUGGACAGACGGGUGUAUAAAUAUGUGUCCAUACCCCCUAUCUGAAUUAAACACUCAAUUAGGGCUACUACGCUUACGUCCAACGCUCACGUCACACCAUAAUGCGGCUAUAUGUUACGCCAUUAAGGUGGACAGA
rnacentral:lncRNA from 1 species